GCCUCUUUAGCUCAGUGGUAGAGCGUUGGUCUCGUAUCAUCAAUUGGAUAUUAAGAACAAGGUUAUAAAUGUAUGGAAUCAUGUAGCAAACCAAAGGCCGAGAGUUCAAUCCUCUCAGGAGUCA
rfam:Daphnia pulex DAPPTscaffold_40_Cont2281, whole genome shotgun sequence.